rnacentral:rRNA from 1 species
AACGAACGCUGGCGGCAGGCCUAACACAUGCAAGUCGAGCGGACCCUUCGGGGUUAGCGGCGGACGGGUGAGUAACGCGUGGGAAUAUGCCCUUCUCUACGGAAUAGUCCUGGGAAACUGGGGGUAAUACCGUAUACGCCCUUUGGGGGAAAGAUUUAUCGGGGAAGGAUUAGCCCGCGUUGGAUUAGGUAGUUGGUGGGGUAAUGGCCUACCAAGCCGACGAUCCAUAGCUGGUUUGAGAGGAUGAUCAGCCACACUGGGACUGAGACACGGCCCAGACUCCUACGGGAGGCAGCAGUGGGGAAUCUUAGACAAUGGGGGCAACCCAGAUCUAGCCAUGCCGCGUGAGUGAUGAAGGCCUUAGGGUUGUAAAGCUCUUUCAGCUGGGAAGAUAAUGACGGUACCAGCAGAAGAAGCCCCGGCUAACUCCGUG